GUUGAUGCUCCAAUGGCUGUUAUUAACAAUGAAGACAUCCAGACUACUUUGGAUUGCUGUCAAGAGGCAUGAUCUCAGUGGUUGGUCAAAUCUGUGUAAUAGUCUGUUUGAACCGUAUCUAGUUGAACAGCCUGCAGUUUUCAUGGAAAGGUGCACAGGUUUGCUGUAGAAUCUCUUUGGUCUGCCUUUUUGCAACCACCUCUGUUUUUACAAUAGGAGAAAACGAGUUCUUGUAUCCUUAUAAAAUUCAUUAAAUUUGCCUCACUGUUCUUAGAUCACUUGGAUAGAGAGCAACAGGUGCGUCUGACAGCACAAGGCAGCUACUGGCAUUGUUUUGCCUGUGGCUUUGAAUAAUUGUUGCACAAUUUUGGUGCUGACAUGCAUUGCAAAUGUAAAAGAUAUGUUAUGAGUGCUGACACAAGCAGUUAUUUUGCAGAUAACGGGGUCACCACUCUUCGGGAGGUUCACUUUCCAAGUGGAGCCUGCAGCAUAAGACAAGUGUGUUUUUGACUAGAUGAUGGAUACGAAUCGAGGAUGUCUAAUUCCAUUAAACUGCUGUAUGCCACCAAACAUCAAGCAGAUGUUUCUCCUAUAGAAUCACUAACUAUCAACAUGAUAGAGCAGUGGAUCCUCUGCAGUGAAUGGGUGCCGUCAGAAUGAGAGUCCAAACAGCUGAUAAAAACAUCCACAAGUAAUCCACACAGCUCCAGUCCAUCAGUUAACAUCUUGUGAAUACAGAUACGUGGUUUUAGGCACUCUGCAACACGCGUCCCUCAUCUGCUCUGUAUUCAAGGUAAAUCAUAGCUUCCUUGGGCUUUUUGCUUUAGUACCGCAUGGCAAAGUUACUUAAAAAGUGCAUCUCUAAUGGUGAUCACUAAUACAAUUCAUGAAAAGAUAGCAAAACUUAAAUGUAUUUUUAAGAGGGUAGCAUCUUCAAGUUUUUAUAUUAUAUCACACGGUUCAUCAUUUCAUGCCAGCAUUGAUAAAGCACACCUUCAACACUCAUUCAUCCCUAUAGAAGAGCUUUACUACACCUGAACCUCACUGUGGGAACCAGGCACUUAUCACUGCAACACCUUUAUUUUAUUUGAUAAAUUACAGGAGUGUGUUCUCAUUUGCAACACAUUUUAUCACUUUAAGAAAACAGUAUUCUUCUAGUAAAGAGUACUUGCUGAAUUUAAGUUAAAGUGUACUCUCUUAUACAGAGAACUGUAGUUUACA